rnacentral:lncRNA from 1 species
AUGUUAUUUUAUUCAGUUCAUUGAUCUUAUUGCUAUACAAAAAAAUUUAAUAUAUUAUAUUUUUUAUUUAUUUUUGCUAUAUUAGAGAUUAUUUAAUUAUUAUUAUGAAUAAAAUAAAGAAGAAAAGGAUCACCAUUUCUGCUUUCGACACCCAAAGGGAUGAAGUUGAUGGCGAAUCUUGAAGCCACAAUGUUGGAUAUAAAUCAGACAGGCCACC